rnacentral:lncRNA from 1 species
GCACUGUUGCGUGACAGACCAGGAGCAUGGGCAUGACAACAUGGGAGUGCAGAGAGACGGGCACGGACCAAGAAGAGGAUCAUGACCGUGCCAAAAAGGUGAUAAACACACCAAACAGUCGGCGCUCAGGGUAAGUUUUCUCUGUUCCUUGAAUCCUCUCACUACGUGUGAUGCUCGUGUACAUGGGUGUGCAACAUGAGCAUGAAGUAACUGAAGUAGUAGUAAUUUUUCUGUGUGGUGUUCCUGCUCGUUCUUUGAAUGCUCUGAGGGUAAGUUUGUCUGUGUAUGGAGUUCCUACUUAUUCCCUGAAUCACUCUCAUGUAUGCAUGUGAAUUAAACAUUUAUUUCUCAGUUUGCAGUAGUAACUCGAGCAGAACUAAUUCUUCUGUUCCCUCAAUCCCUCUCAUGUAUGUUUGCGAAUUAAGUAUGGGAAAC